ensembl:lncRNA
AACUCAUGCUGGGGCUGGAGCCGCGUGGCCUCUGGGAACCUCUCAGAGGCUGCAGAUCUUCCUGGGCUGUUGAUCUGGGCUGCCUGGGCCUGUGACAACAUCCAGCAGGCCCAGUCCUGGGCAUCUCCCCUUUUGCUGUGGGCCCUGGCUUGCCUCCCUCUUUCCAUCUCGCUCCCUCCUCCCCUCUUUCCUGGGUGCCCGUCUCUGUCCCCUCCUUUCCUUUUAUACCCACUUUCCAGCUUUCCUGUCCUUCCUCUCUUCUCUCAGCCCAGUAACUAGCAUUGUUAUCUGUAGCCACCAGAUGGCACCAGCGUACCAUGUGUCCCGUCCUAGAUGAGGGUACACCCGUUCCAUGCCCCUGGCCCAGGGUGAGUAACCACCCUUAACCCUUCACAACAUCCACACCCUGCCCAACACCUUCCUGAGACUUUAAACACGGAGGAAAACAGAUGCAGCCAAAUAUGGGCAGGGCCAGGGUAGGGGCCCCGAGCUCCUUGGAGAGGCUCUAAUGCCCCUUAGGGUAACACCUAUCUCACAAAGGGUAUUUGUACACAUCACAGGGUUUCCACCUCAAACCCGUGAGCUCCUGGGUAGUGUGCACUGUACACACAAAGAGAAUGAAACCCAAAGGAAUGAAGUCACUCACCCAGGGUUCACGCUCUGUUUCUUCUAGCAAGGCUGAAAUGCAGAAGAGGCAGCCCCUCUCUGCCUUCUGGGAGCCCCCAGGCUGGUGGGAAUCACAACCUUGCUCCAGGAGCCAAUCGAAAGGGGGACGCAGAGGUGCAGCUUUCUGGAAACCUCUCCUGGUAUAGAGCCAGGGCCAGGUGUCAGGCCUCUUCUUGGCUUCAAGAGGAUUCUCAUUUGCCUUUCUCUUGGGGAAAAUCUUCCCUCUGGGACCCUGGAUGGCCUGACUUCCAUAAUUAUAGGAGCCUCAUGCAUCGAGUACCUGUUGGAGGCCGGGCACUUUACAUACAGCAUCAUGUUCAAUUCGCACAAUAUGCUUUCAAGUGAGUAUUUCUCACAUUUUAUAGAUGAGGAAACUGAGGUCCAGAGAGAUUAAAGAAUGUGC